ACUCUUUUGUGGUGCCUAAGUGGUGACUGGUUUUUAUGCCAUUGUGUGAGAUGUGCCUCCCUCAAACCUCAUCCCAUGUGUGUCUGCACAUUACCCAUCUGACA